rnacentral:tRNA from 1 species
GGAGAGGUGCCGGAGUGGUUGAACGGGCUCGUCUCGAAAAUGAGUAUAGCUGUGAGGCUAUCGAGGGUUCGAAUCCCUCCUUCUCCG